GUCGGGGUGGAGCAGCCCGGUAGCUCGUCAGGCUCAUAACCUGAAGGUCACAGGUUCAAAUCCUGUCCCCGCAACCA
rnacentral:tRNA from 1 species